UAAUGUACAGGAAUUUGCCUCUUUUUGGAGGAUAGCUCGUCGAAAGGCGGGAUAAUACUUCAUAGUCUAUACCUAGUAUAGUAAAGAACGUAACUGUUCGAAAAGAGAUGAGCCUGUAUUCUAUCAGGUAGUUGGUGAGGUAAAAGCUCACCAAGCCAAUGACGGAUAGCUGGUCUGAGAGGAUGACCAGCCAGAGGGGGACUGAGACACGGCCCCC
rnacentral:rRNA from 1 species